rnacentral:rRNA from 1 species
ANUGGGCGCAGCCUGAUGCAGCGACGCCGCGUGAGGGAUGGAGGCCUUCCUCNUUGUAAACCNCNUUUAUCGGGGAGCAAGCGAGAGUGAGUUUCCCCGUUGAAUAAGCACCGGCUAACUACGUGCCAGCAGCCGCGGUAAUACGUAGGUGGCAAGCGUUGUCCGGAUUUACUGGGUGUAAAGGGCGUGUAGCCGGGAAGGCAAGUCAGAUGUGAAAUCCACGGGCUCAACUCGUGAACUGCAUUUGAAACUGUUUUUCUUGAGUAUCGGAGAGGCAAUCGGAAUUCCUAGUGUAGCGGUGAAAUGCGUAGAUAUUAGGAAGAACACCAGUGGCGAAGGCGGCUUACUGGACGGUAACUGGCGCUGAGGCGCGAAAGUGUGGGGAGCAAACAGGAUUAGAUACCCUGGUAGUCCAAGGGCGAAUUC